rnacentral:rRNA from 1 species
AUGAACGCUAGCGGCAGGCCUAACACAUGCAAGUCGAGGGGUAACGAUGUCUUCGGACAGUCGACGACCGGCGCACGGGUGAGUAACGCGUAUACAACCUACCUUUAACAGGAGGAUAGCCCCGAGAAAUCGGGAUUAAUACUCCAUAACAUUGAUUUACCGCAUGGUAUUUCGAUUAAAACUCCGGUGGUUAAAGAUGGGUAUGCGUGACAUUAGUUUGUUGGUGAGGUAACGGCUCACCAAGACUACGAUGUCUAGGGGUUCUGAGAGGAUGAUCCCCCACACUGGUACUGAGACACGGACCAGACUCCUACGGGAGGCAGCAGUGAGGAAUAUUGGUCAAUGGACGCAAGUCUGAACCAGCCAUGCCGCGUGCAGGAUGACGGCCCUAUGGGUUGUAAACUGCUUUUAUUAAGGAAUAACUCCCUGGUCGUGUAUCAGGGCUGAACGUACUUAUGAAUAAGGACCGGCUAACUCCGUGCCAGCAGCCGCGGUAAUACGGAGGGUCCGAGCGUUAUCCGGAUUUAUUGGGUUUAAAGGGUGCGCAGGCGGUAUAAUAAGUCAGUGGUGAAAUCUCGAGGCUCAACCUCGAAACUGCCAUUGAUACUGUUAUACUCGAGUAUAGACGAAGUAGGCGGAAUGUAGCAUGUAGCGGUGAAAUGCUUAGAUAUGCUACAGAACACCGAUUGCGAAGGCAGCUCACUAAACCAACACUGACGCUCAGGCACGAAAGCGUGGGGAGCGAACAGGAUUAGAUACCCUGGUAGUCCACGCCGUAAACUAUGAUCACUCGUUGUUGGCGAUACACUGUCAGUGACUAAGCGAAAGCGAUAAGUGAUCCACCUGGGGAGUACGAUCGCAAGGUUGAAACUCAAAGGAAUUGACGGGGGCCCGCACAAGCGGUGGAGCAUGUGUUUAAUUGACGGGGGCCCGCACAAGCGGUGGAGCAUGUGGUUUAAUUCGAUGAUACGCGAGGAACCUUACCUGGGCUCAAAUGCAAGAUGACAACCCCUGAAAGGGGGCUUUCUUCGGACAUUUUGCAAGGUGCUGCAUGGUUGUCGUCAGCUCGUGCCGUGAGGUGUCGGGUUAAGUCCCAUAACGAGCGCAACCCCUACUCUUAGUUGCCAGCAUGUAAUGAUGGGGACUCUAGGAGAACUGCCUACGCAAGUAGAGAGGAAGGUGGGGAUGACGUCAAAUCAGCACGGCCCUUACGUCCAGGGCUACACACGUGCUACAAUGGCCGGUACAGAGGGCAGCCACCACGCGAGUCGGAGCGAAUCUCAAAAGCCGGUCUCAGUUCGGAUCGAAGUCUGCAACCCGACUUCGUGAAGCUGGAAUCGCUAGUAAUCGCGCAUCAGCCAUGGCGCGGUGAAUACGUUCCCGGGCCUUGUACACACCGCCCGUCAAGCCAUGGAAGCUGGGGGUACCUGAAGUCGGUAACCGUUAAGGAGCCGCCUAGGGUAAAACUGGUAACUGGGGCUA